rnacentral:rRNA from 1 species
CUUUUACAAUGAAGAGUUUGAUCCUGGCUCAGGAUGAACGCUAGCUACAGGCUUAACACAUGCAAGUCGAGGGGCAGCAUUUUAGUUUGCUUGCAAACUAAAGAUGGCGACCGGCGCACGGGUGAGUAACACGUAUCCAACCUGCCGAUAACUCGGGGAUAGCCUUUCGAAAGAAAGAUUAAUAUCCGAUGGUAUAUUUUCUCCGCAUGGUGAGAAUAUUAAAGAAUUUCGGUUAUCGAUGGGGAUGCGUUCCAUUAGUUUGUUGGCGGGGUAACGGCCCACCAAGACCACGAUGGAUAGGGGUUCUGAGAGGAAGGUCCCCCACAUUGGAACUGAGACACGGUCCAAACUCCUACGGGAGGCAGC